UACGGAAGGAGCAAGCGUUAAUCGGAAUUACUGGGCGUAAAGCGUGCGUAGGCGGCUGCUUAAGUCAGAUGUGAAAGCCCCGGGCUUAACCUGGGAACGGCAUUUGAUACUGGGCAGCUCGAGUUGAGUAGAGGAGAGGGGAAUUUCAGGUGUAGCGGUGAAAUGCGUAGAGAUCGGAAGGAACACCAGUGGCGAAGGCGCCUCUCUGGACUCAAACUGACGCUGAGGUAAGAAAGCGUGGGUAGCAAACAGG
rnacentral:rRNA from 1 species